CUUUUUGCUUCUCUGUCUCUCAAAUCAAAUUUCGAAGAAGAUGGAUUGCAGUGAGUGAAAAUGAGAUUCUCUAACAAAUUUCACCCUAAUCAGAAUUUCUUCAGGUACUGCUUAAACUGCUCAUCACUCUCUCCAAAAACCCUAACCCCCAAAUAUCCGUUUUCAGUAUAUGUAAAUACAAUAAUUUUUUUGCGCCAUUCUUCAAUUGGGUUGUAUGCAUUUAUCCCUUCUGAACCACGCUCACUUCAAAAAACGCCAGUUUUAAGCACUUCCUCUUCUGGGUCUUCCUCAAGUCUUCAUUUUGGAUUGCGUUCGGUUCAAAUUAAGCUGUCUUCACAUGUCAAGAAUCAAGUUUUGGGCGAUUCAUUUCGUGGGCUUCCUUCAAAAUUUAUAAUUGAAUCAUUGGUUUUAUCAACACAUAGGUGCCACAGUGUGUGUAAUGCAUUUGGUUGGCUUAGUUGUGGGGAAAUGGUUAGAUACUACUCUGUAUCAUCAUCAAAUAGCUCGUUGGCUUCUGGUUCUGUUGUGAAGAGUGAGAAAAAUUAUAGGCUGGGGUUUGUUUUGGAAGUUGUUGGUAUGAUUAGGAGCAAUGGAGAGGAUUUGGAGCGCAGGUUAAAUAUGACGCGCCCUAGAUUGAAUGCAUACUCUAUCACUGAGAUUUUUGAAUUCUUGAACUCUGAGAAGGUACAUGGAUUGAGGUUCUUUGAGUGGAUUUGUAGUAAUCAUCCUAAGCUGCAGAAGGAUACUUGUGUUUGUAGUUUGAUCAUCGAUAACCUCGGAAGGUUGGAGGACUAUGGAACAAUGCAAGAGUGGUUUAGGAAGUUUGCUUGUGAAAAGAUUUGUCUGACUUAUGAGGCUUUUGGGUUUUUACCGGUGUUGGCAUCCGCAGACGCUUCAUUGAAGGAAUCCACUAAAAUUGUGUUGGAUUUGUUGAAUGAAGUUGGGGGAUCAUUUCAGAGUUCUGGUGUCUGUGCCUUGAUUGAGAUGCUGUGUAAGUUUCACUUGUUUGACAUGGCUAAGCAUGUCAUCUGCAUUUCCGAGGGCAAGCAGUCGUGUUCUCUCCUUUUCAUCCGUGAGAUGUGCAGGAGUGGUCUUAUAGAAGAAGCACAUGGUAUAAUCAGAGGGAUUAGACAGGCUCGUUGCGCUCAUACUACCACUUUGUAUAACUAUCUUCUUGGAAGCCUAUGGAAGAAUUCCAGGAUUACUGAAGUCUUUCAACUGGUUGAUGAGAUGAAAAAAAGCGAUAUCCCUUUUGAUGCUAUAACGUUUGAGAUUCUUAUCAAUUCUGUUUGUAGUUUAGGCAAUAUGGAUGCUGUUCACCGGAUUCUUGAUCAAAUGGUGGCUCAAGGAGUUCAGCCUCGACUGUCUACUCAUGCUUGCAUCAUUAAGACUUUGUUUGCUGCAGAAAGAUAUGAGGCAGCAUACAAGCAUGUUGUUUAUGCAAGUGCUAUUGAUAAGACCUCUAGCAAUAUGAUAUACAGCUUAACGGCCAAACUUUAUUUGGAAAAAGGUCAUAUCAUGAGUGCUCGGAACACUCUUGUGGACAUGAUGGAAAAAGGUCUAAGGCCGAAUUUCAGCAUUUACAUGAAAGUUGUGAAGCAACUUAGAAGAACUGGGAGGGGAAAUCUAGCAAGAGACUUGGAAAGCAAGCACUUCAAGUUUGUAUUCAAUCCUCACGUAGCAUAUUCUUCUCCUCUCCCACGGAUUGGCAGUUCUUAUUAUGUUCGCAUAUCCAACAAAUUCACAUGAUAUAUACAAGUUUGGUUCCAUAGUUUCUUGAUUAACUUUGAUGUUUGUGUUUUCUCCAUUUGUCUUUGAGGAAAGAAAUUUUGUUGGUUCAGGUGCAAUUUCAAUCUUUUACUAGCAAAAGGAACGAUGCUGCCUAAAGGUCGAUAGUACCCUUCUCGUCAACAACCUCGAGAUUCUCCGACCCCCGACGGGCCCACUAGCUCCAUCCACAUUUUAGGCGAGUCGAGUGGCGCCUCAUUGAUGGCUUGAAUGUCGCUAGGCGACAGCUUCACCCUAGCCGGGACAGCACCCCCGCUAGAACCACCAUCU